GACGAUCCGAGCGAACGUUGUUCGGAAUCACUGGGCUUAAAGGGCGCGUAGGCGGGCCGCCGCGUCCGGGGUGAAAUCCUCCCGCUCAACGGGAGAACGGCCUCGGAUACGGGCGGCCUGGAGGGGGGUAGGGGCGUGCGGAACUGUGGGUGGAGCGGUGAAAUGCGUUGAUAUCCACAGGAACUCCGGUGGCGAAGGCGGCACGCUGGACCCCACCUGACGCUGAGGCGCGAAAGCCAGGGGAGCGAACGGG
rnacentral:rRNA from 1 species